rnacentral:tRNA from 1 species
CCCUGGUGGCUCAGAGGUUAAAGCGUCUGCCUGCAAUGCAGGAAACCCGGGUUCGAUCCCUGGAUCAGGAA